rnacentral:tRNA from 1 species
GACACCGUGGCCGAGUGGUUAAGGCGACAGAUUCGAAUUGAAUUGACGUGGUAUGUCCAUAGAUUGCGCAGGUUCGAGUCGUUCCUGUCGAUCAUGAGACUACCAUAAGUACGAAGCAUCUGUUGGAGUUCCUCCGCGCAGGUUCGAGUCCUGUCGGUGUCG